rnacentral:rRNA from 1 species
CUAAUACAUGCAAGUCGAACGAACGGAGGAAGAGCUUGCUCUUCCAAAGUUAGUGGCGGACGGGUGAGUAACACGUGGGCAACCUGCCUGUAAGUUGGGGAUAACUCCGGGAAACCGGGGCUAAUACCGAAUGAUAAAGUGUGGCGCAUGCCACGCUUUUGAAAGAUGGUUUCGGCUAUCGCUUACAGAUGGGCCCGCGGUGCAUUAGCUAGUUGGUAGGGUAAUGGCCUACCAAGGCAACGAUGCAUAGCCGACCUGAGAGGGUGAUCGGCCACACUGGGACUGAGACACGGCCCAGACUCCUACGGGAGGCAGCAGUAGGGAAUCUUCCGCAAUGGACGAAAGUCUGACGGAGCAACGCCGCGUGUAUGAAGAAGGUUUUCGGAUCGUAAAGUACUGUUGUUAGAGAAGAACAAGGAUAAGAGUAACUGCUUGUCCCUUGACGGUAUCUAACCAGAAAGCCACGGCUAACUACGUGCCAGCAGCCGCGGUAAUACGUAGGUGGCAAGCGUUGUCCGGAUUUAUUGGGCGUAAAGCGCGCGCAGGCGGUCUUUUAAGUCUGAUGUGAAAGCCCCCGGCUUAACCGGGGAGGGUCAUUGGAAACUGGAAGACUGGAGUGCAGAAGAGGAGAGUGGAAUUCCACGUGUAGCGGUGAAAUGCGUAGAUAUGUGGAGGAACACCAGUGGCGAAGGCGACUCUCUGGUCUGUAACUGACGCUGAGG